rnacentral:lncRNA from 1 species
AUAAGCAACACGUGGACUCUGGAAGGGAAGGAAGAAGUUACAGCUCAGUGCACCAUGAAGUUGAGACAGAGAUGGAGACACCUCAGCCCCACCUCUCUGGAACAGGAAAGAUGAUUGGGGAGGGAGCACAGGUCAGCGUGGGAAGAGGGUCAUGGUGGACAUGGGGGUGGGGUGGUCUCCCCACCUCCACACAUUAUGCCUACAUGAACACAGACACAUGCAGGUGCCUUUGCAGAAACAAAGUCAGGGUUCUUCAAGUCACAAAGGGAAGGGCAGGAACAACUCUUGCCUCUCAGUCCCACACAAGGCAGCUGUCUCACACUAUAGAAAAAAAUAUUCAUGAACAAAUUCAUAUCCGUCACAGUGAGG